rnacentral:rRNA from 1 species
AGCGAACGCUGGCGGCAGGCCUAACACAUGCAAGUCGAACGAAGUCUUCGGACUUAGUGGCGGACGGGUGAGUAACACGUGGGAACGUGCCUUUAGGUUCGGAAUAACUCAGGGAAACUUGUGCUAAUACCGAAUGUGCCCUUUGGGGGAAAGAUUUAUCGCCUUUAGAGCGGCCCGCGUCUGAUUAGCUAGUUGGUGAGGUAAAGGCUCACCAAGGCGACGAUCAGUAGCUGGUGUGAGAGGAUGAUCAGCCACAUUGGGACUGAGACACGGCCCAAACUCCUACGGGAGGCAGCAAUGGGGAAUCUUGCGCAAUGGGCGAAAGCCUGACGCAGCCAUGCCGCGUGAAUGAUGAAGGUCUUAGGAUUGUAAAAUUCUUUCACCGGGGACGAUAAUGACGGUACCCGGAGAAGAAGCCCCGGCUAACUUCGUGCCAGCCGCCGCGGUAACAC